rnacentral:lncRNA from 1 species
GGUAUCCCUUCAUGUGUAGCUGGAGAGGAACCAUGAUGAGCGGAGCGAACAGCUCACAGUGCCAACUGCUGACACAGCAGCGACCUAGCUCAGGCUGCUUUCUGACAGGAGUGCCUGUAGGGUUUCUCUGCAGUUUCUGUUGUGGCUAAAUACACUGGUUUGCUGGAGAGUGCCUGAAAUUAGCCUAGAUGCAUUAGCAGGCUGAUGCAUAACAUCAGACAAAAGUCCUUCAGAUCGGCAGGAUUUUUACCAUUUUGCUGUGGCUCCUGCCCUGGCCUCUAGCCGCUUUCCCAAGCAUACUGUAGUACUGUAAAGGCAUACAGUCUGUCCUAAGACAAUACGACCACCAUGUGGUUGAGCAAACACCCCAAAAGGCUGUUCAAUGAAGUCCUGUCUGCCUGGAGAUGGACACGCUUCAUUUUUGGCAGCUGUGAUAUUAGGCUAAAAUAUUCCAGGUCCCUUUCUAGCUCAUACUUAAGUCAUGACACACAUGCUCUGUAGUGAAUCACAAGUUCAUAAAAGGAAAGUGUUGGGGCCUGGCACUGCAAGAGCAAAAGUCUAGUAAGUAGCAGUCGUUUAACGGCAUACUGUUUCUGGAAGGCUAAAGAUUUGUAAUCUAUUGUCUUAGGGUUUCUAUCCUGCACAGACAUCAUGACCAAGAAGUUAGUUGGGGAAGAAAGGGUUUAUUCACCUUACACUUUCAUGUUGCUGUUCAUCAGCAAAGAUAGGACAGGAGCUCACACAGGGCAGGAAGCAGGAGCUGAGCAAUGCUUCACUUGGGAGGCUGAGACGGGGCACAGAGCCAGCCCUUCAGCGCUAUCAGAGGGAAACCUCAUCCCAGAGGCUGGAGGGAUGGCUUACUAGUUACUCUUCUUAGUGUUAUUGCAGAGGUCCUGAGUUUAGUUCCCAGGUCAGGUGACUGCCCUUAACUUCAAGAGAUCCAAAGCCCUCCUCAGGCACCUGCACACACAUAGUUUAAAAUUAAUCCUUUUCUUUUCAAAGGAAAAAAAAGACCUCUUUAUUUUACUAAAAAACAUUUUAUUGCUGAAAAGUACUCUUCACCCUGUUGAUGUUUUAGAUUUUGUUAGUAAAGCUAAGACAACAUUUCAGAAGUGAAAGCGUCCAGGGAUAUGAACAUCUUGGAUUUUAAGUGCAGUGUGCUUUGUGACUACCUAGCUUAGAAGACCUGAGUGAGCACUCCCCCAGGUAGGUCUGUGGUCACUUCAUAGGGAACAUACUUUUAGAAGCUGCAGGUCACAGCAGGCCUGCACAGGUACUUCUGUAUUGUGUUCAGGUGCUGAUUCACUGGCCACUGAGGAAAGCCUGACUUACACUGACUUCUUAGCCCGCUAGAAAUAUAAAAGCCACCCACAGAGUGUCCUUUAUAGGGAGACUGUCUUAAUUUGGACUGUGUGGAAAGUGAAGCACACAGUGGACUUCACUUCUGCUUUUCAUUGGUCACAACAGGUACUCACAGGAUGUCUAAGUCAGCAUUGUUAGCCAUAGACUGAUGGGACAUCUUAUAUUUAGGAAACGUUUUCCAUGUUGAUAAAGUUUCCUAAGUGAAGCCAACUGACUAUGAAUGUCAGCCAUGUCUAAAGCUUACCUAUAGAAGCAGGGGACUUGUGCCAUGAGUCAACAGUCUUCGGAGAUAGGACAGAUACACUCCUUUAUUUGUACAGUUGCUUGUGAAGUACUGUUGCAGCAAGCUCAUACUGUAAUCAAUAAAGUACUUUUCACCAUGGCUCAUUGUACCUUGUUUUAAGUCAAAUUUUAGUAGGAUUUUACAAAUUAUGCCCGGGAACUAAAUUAAACUUAAGUCCAGUACUUU